AAAUGUUUCGUCUUUGGUUUAAUAUUAGCCCGUACGGUUCACCCGGAAACGAGCGUUCAGACAGACGACACUGAUAUUGACAUCAUGAUUCGUGAACGCAAAUUUUAUGGAAGAAAUGAGAUGCAGCAACUACACAAACCCUUGGAUGCAGCUAGGACAAUGUAGGAUAUCUUCAAUCUAGGACACUAAAGACAAGAUGUGCCAGUUAUCAAAUUUGACCUCCCCUAUAUCAUGCAGGAAGGUACAUGUACAUGGAUGUUUAAAAAAUUCCACAAAUGGUGAAGAAAAUGACAUGGGAAGACGCCUGAUAAAUGUUUCAAGUAAAAUUCAGCAAUUGAGUUUCUGGAAAGCCAAGCAUACAUAACCAAAGGAUAUUUUCAUAGAAUGGACUUCUGUAGGCCAAAAAAAUACAGACAACAUCAAGAAGAGUGACAUUUAGAAGAAAGAACAUUCAAUUGAUAAUGUUAUUAUGUCAACAACAAAAACAUAAAAAGUUGAUUGUAACGUUUUGAGAAUGCUGUAAAUAAAAGUAGAGUGAAAUCAAAAUCCAAGUUUUUUUCAAAUUUAUAUUCUGCAACAAAUAGACAACAGAGAGAAAAAAUAUAAAUAUAUUCUUAAGCAGA